GGCAGAUACACCCAGGGACACUCAGCCUUCCUGCACUUCAGACUCCCCUCCCUCUGCUUGCCCCCGCUCCGUGCGGGCUGCCGCCCCUGCUGGUGCCACCAGCACCCAGGAGGCUUUCCUGGGCCCACCUGUGGAUGUGUCCCCCAGCCCCACACCAGGCAGGCCCUGGGAAAGACAGCGGAUGGGGACGGCAGAGGGGGCCCGGUGCACGUCAGCUCCUUCCCAAAGUGCCUGGCCCCUCUCUUGCUGUGAAGGCCUCCAGAGAUAACCAAGGCGUGGACACGCCAGGCACCCAGGUCUCAGCCAGGCACACGGUUCCCGUGUCUCACAGCCGUGGCCACCCUCUGAGCGGCCCAGAGAGGCCAGGGCCGGGGGUGCCUGGUCCCCGCGACGGUGGGGCUGUCAGAGCGUCCGUGAGGCUCGGG
rnacentral:lncRNA from 1 species